rnacentral:lncRNA from 1 species
UUAUAUUUUAUCUUUAGUAACUUAUAUCAGAAUGAGCCUGUUGGUUCGAGUUGUAAGGGGUUGUUGUGUUGAAGGUCUUGUGUUUGAAUCCUGGUGUGAGUGUGGGGGAUAUUUUUUACCUCGGUUGGCUGAGAGAGUUUGGAUGGGAUUGGAAGUCCACUCUGAGUAAGUGGGUAGUUGAGAUUGAGAUGUUAUUGGGGAGUUGGGAUUUAUCUAAUUUGGUUUUAUUUUUGUUUUGUUUUCUUUAAUUUUUCUCUUUUCUCUCUCCUCAAGAAAUCAAACUUGAGUUUUUCCUUUUCUCUGCUUUUUUUUGUCAAUUGACAAAUUCUUUUCCCUUGCUCUCUGCUUUCUGUCACAAUUUUAUUAUUCAAUAUCAGUAUUUCAGUUCUUCGGUGUUCUUGUGUAUU